rnacentral:rRNA from 1 species
GAUGAACGCUGGCGGCGUGCCUAAUACAUGCAAGUCGAGCGAACAGAUAAGGAGCUUGCUCCUUUGACGUUAGCGGCGGACGGGUGAGUAACACGUGGGUAACCUACCUAUAAGACUGGGAUAACUUCGGGAAACCGGAGCUAAUACCGGAUAAUAUUUCGAACCGCAUGGUUCGAUAGUGAAAGAUGGUUUUGCUAUCACUUAUAGAUGGACCCGCGCCGUAUUAGCUAGUUGGUAAGGUAACGGCUUACCAAGGCGACGAUACGUAGCCGACCUGAGAGGAUGAUCGGCCACACUGGAACUGAGACACGGUCCAGACUCCUACGGGAGGCAGCAGUAGGGAAUCUUCCGCAAUGGGCGAAAGCCUGACGGAGCAACGCCGCGUGAGUGAUGAAGGUCUUCGGAUCGUAAAACUCUGUUAUUAGGGAAGAACAUACGUGUAAGUAACUGUGCACGUCUUGACGGUACCUAAUCAGAAAGCCACGGCUAACUACGUG